UACGGAGGGAGCUAGCGUUGUUCGGAAUUACUGGGCGUAAAGCGCACGUAGGCGGCUUUGUAAGUUAGAGGUGAAAGCCCGGAGCUCAACUCCGGAACUGCCCUUUAAGACUGCAUCGCUUGAAUCCAGGAGAGGUGAGUGGAAUUCCGGAGUGUAGAGGUGAAAUUCGUAGAUACUACGGAAGAACACCAGUGGCGAAGGCGGC
rnacentral:rRNA from 1 species